rnacentral:rRNA from 1 species
AUUGAACGCUGGCGGCAGGCCUAACACAUGCAAGUCGAACGAGUGGCGGACGGGUGAGCAAUGUCUGGGAAACUGCCUGAUCGAGGGGGAUAACUACUGGAAACGGUAGCUACUACUGCUUAACAUCAUAUGUGCCGAGAUGGGAUUGGCUAGUUGGUGGGGUAACGGCUCACCAAGGCGACGAUCCCCAGCUGGUCUGAGAGGAUGACCGGUCACACUGGAACUGAGACACGGCCCAGACGCCGACGGGAGGCAGCAGUGGGGAAUAUUGCGCAAUGGGCGCAAGCCUGAUGCAGCCAUGCCGCGUGUAUGAAGAAGGCCUUCGGGUUGUAAAGUACUUUCAGCGGGGAGGCGUUACCCGCAGAAGAAGCACCGGCUAACUCCGUGCCAGCCGCCGCGGUAAUAC